UACGGAGGGUGCAAGCGUUAUCCGGAUUCACUGGGUUUAAAGGGUGCGUAGGUGGGCAAGUAAGUCAGUGGUGAAAUCUCCGGGCUUAACCGGAAACUGCCAUUGAUACUAUUUGUCUUGAAUACUGUGGAGGUCAGCGGAAUAUGUCAUGUAGCGGUGAAAUGCUUAGAUAUGACAUAGAACACCAAUUGCGAAGGCAGCUGGCUACACAAAUAUUGACACUGAGGCACGAAAAGCG
rnacentral:rRNA from 1 species